UGCCAGAACGUCUCGAGCCAUCUCGGUGAGAACUUCCAGCCUUUUUGAAAACCUGUCUGAAGCCCGACCUGUCUUUGCCCUGUUUUUUGAGCCAGCCUUACCCCUCUUUGGAUUUUGUCUGCCCGACUGAGUUCUGCCUGUCAGCCUCUGGACCUUGGAUUGCCCGCCCGUGUUCUGACCCAACCAGCCCAAACCUCCGCCUGAUCAAUUGACCUCCCGCUAUCGGACCCGGACUGUACCAGGACAAACGGCCUCGGAUUAUCCCAGCACGGACUCUGCCGAACUCUGGAACCAAGAGUAGCCCAGACGAGCCAGCCCACGACCAGGAGCUGCCAGCCGGUGAGCGUGAGCCGCACACACCGAGAGCCGUGCAAACCC